rnacentral:lncRNA from 1 species
GGAUUAAGGUAUUUCUGAAGGCAUAACGGGGUCCAACUCUGUACUAGCAAGGUGUGCCUAUUUAAGUGGCUGGGGACUGUAUUUUGGACAUUUUUAUGCUCUGAACUUUCUGGUAAAAAUUUGGGUAUGUCCCAUUCAGGUUUCAACAUGACACCAGCGCACAAAGCAAGGUCCAUACAGACAUGGAUGAGAUUUAGAUGUGGAAAAACUUGACUGGCCUGCAAAUAACACUGACUGCAACCCAAUAGAUAAAAGGUUAUCUAUUGGGUUGCAGUAAGGGUUAUUUGCAGUGGAGUGGAGUCUGCAAGCCAGGCCUCUUGUCCAACUUCACAAAAGCUCUUGUGGGAGAAUGUUCAAACAUUCCCUAUUGAACACUCCCUAUUGAAGCCUAUGAAUUAAGAAUGGGAUAUCAAGUUUGUGUUUGUCCCAAAGUUUUUAGCAGUUUUGUUUUGAAUAGGACAUUAUGUUUGGUAAAUAUUAUGUUUUGAAAAACACAAUUAAAAACCAAAGAUUUGUAUGCUACAAGAAAUGGUCACAUACCUGAUAAGCAGGUUUCACAUGUCAUAUGUGUGUCCUCGCCAUGAAUGAACAGUAAAUCUUUGUGUGGUUGUUUUUUUUUGCAGGUGCCUAUUCAUUCUGGCCACAGUAAACUCCAUGGGUGGAGUGGGUCGGGGUGAGAACCAAAAGCUUUGAAUCUAAUUCUACAGCUCUGAUAAUUAAAAUUAUAUUCUGUUCUGUGCUUUCCUGUUCUAUGUCUAUCUCGUGGUAUAAGCAGGACAAUUUUAUUAUAAAUACCAUUCUCAGGGAUGGUUAAUUUUUUUUACCUCCUUAUUCUUAUUUUGUUCAGUAUUUUGUCCUAAUCAUAAACCUUACCUAGGUUGCAGGGCCUUCCCUCCAUUUGCUGGACUGACCUUCUCCUGCUGAUUUCUGAUCAGUCACUUUAGCUCUACAUGACUCCCACCCUGUGCGGUUGUUGUCUGUGGUGCCUCAUACUUCACAGGCUGAACAGCAAUUUGUGUGUCUGUCAGUCUCCAUCUGUAUGGCUGAUGGCUGUCUUGUCAUUUCCACAGAGGAGAAGCCGUUCCAGUUUCAAGGAGUCAGGACUUUUACAUCCAACAGUGCUGCUAAUGGCUUCCUAUUCAUAG